GACAGAGGUGCCGAGCGUUAGGCGGAAUCACUGGGCUUAAAGCGUGUGUAGGCGGACUUCUAAGUACCUUGUGAAAUCCCACGGCUCAACCGUGGAACUGCUCGGUAUACUGGUUGUCUUGAGCCACUUAGGGGCAGUCGGAACAGACGGUGGAGCGGUGAAAUGCGCAGAUAUCAGGAAGAACACCUAUGGCGAAGGCAGCUCUCUGGGACGGUACUGACGCUGAGACGCGAAAGCGUGGGGAGCAAACAGG
rnacentral:rRNA from 1 species